GCGGGGGUAGCUAAGCCUGGCCAAAAGCAGGGGACUUAAGAUCCCCUCCCUUAGGGGUUCGUGGGUUCGAAUCCCAUCCCCCGCACCA
rnacentral:tRNA from 1 species